rnacentral:misc_RNA from 1 species
GUAUUGUAUUGCGUUAAACGCGGCGCACAUUCCAUAAGACUUGGCUACGGUGUGUGUGUAAAGACAUAGAGCUACAGGAGGGAGGAGACGAUGCGCCCCCCCAGACCAUAGAACUACAGAGGGUGCACAGGUGUGAGUGGAUGUGUGAACAGAGCGUGCACAUGCCCCCGUUUGAGGACCAGCAACAACUCGUGUCAACAAUUCGGUAAUGAUCCUUCCGCAGGUUCACCUACGGAAA